GAUUAAGAACGUAGCGAAAUGCGAUAAGUAAUGUGAAUUGCAGAAUUCAGUGAAUCAUCGAAUCUUUGAACGCACAUUGCGCCCGCCAGUAUUCUGGCGGGCAUGCCUGUUCGAGCGUCAUUUCAACCAUCAAGCCCCCGGGCUUGUGUUGGGGACCUGCGGCUGCCGCAGGCCCUGAAAAGCAGUGGCGGGCUCGCUGUCACACCGAGCGUAGUAGAUUUUAUCUCGCUCUGGGCGUGCUGCGGGUUCCGGCCGUUAAACCACCCUUUUAACCCAAGGUUGACCUCGGAUCAGGUAGGAAGACCCGCUGAACUUAAGCAUAUCAAUAAGCGGAGGA
rnacentral:misc_RNA from 1 species